UACGGAGGGUGCAAGCGUUAAUCGGAAUCACUGGGCGUAAAGCGCGCGUAGGUGGCUAUUUAAGUCAGAUGUGAAAGCCCUGGGCUCAACCUGGGAAUGGCAUUUGAUACUGGAUAGCUAGAGUAUGGUAGAGGUGAGUGGAAUUUCAGGUGUAGCGGUGAAAUGCGUAGAUAUCGGGAAGAACACCAGUGGCGAAGGCGGCGGCCUGGACAGAACCUGACGCUGAGGCACGAAAGCUGGGGGAGCGAACAGG
rnacentral:rRNA from 1 species